UGCACUCCAGCCUGGGCAACAGAGCAAGGCCCUGUCUCAAAAACAAACAAACAAAAAGCUCCUGCUGGGGAAUUGGGUAAAUCAUUGAAGUGCUCCUGAGCUGUCUUCGCCUCAGUAUGCUUUUAACCCAACACUUCUCAACUUUUCUAGUGCUUGGUAGUGACAGUGGUGUUCCAAAUACUGUUAUAUACCUAGUUAGGCAAAGUAGAGUCUAGCUAUAGCCACUCAACUACUUACCAAGGUGGGAGAGUUAACUCAGGCAUUUCAGAGUCUUCAUACAUACUCAGAGAUCGAAACAAGAAGAAGUUUUAAAAUAACUCUCAGACUCCCAACUGUACACGUAUUUACAAAUGUAUGACUUGAUCAUUGAUUUUUAGCAGAUAAACAGAACCAGACAAGUUUAUAUUUUUAACUAAGUUAUAGCGUGAGUAUUGCAUUUGGAAGGACCAUGUUAUUUAUUAAACUGUGUGAGGCUGCUGUGAUUAUGCUAUAGAUAGGCAGAGGUCUCCAGAGUCAAUUGGGGUUGUUGAAUCACAUUCAACGAAUGUCCUUGCAUCUCAAUUGAAGAAGCUUGUUAUUGAGGGACUCCCCUGGAGUAAUCAAUUAAAAGCAGUAGCAUUAAGCAGCUAAUGGUGCUGGGAAAUCAAUACUGGUAUGGGGAAGAAACAAUUCCCUGCAAUGAUUUCUAUGCAAAUUCUGAUUCUUGUACCUAAUGACAUUAGGAUUCACUAAUGACACAUAACUCAAGGAAUUGCUUCUUUCUCAGUUAAGCAUGAAGCACAUUUUUGCCCCUACAACCUUGGUGGCCACUUGGGCAGCUUACUUCUGUUUCUGGGAAGCAAUAGAUUAAGAACUCAGCAUCCUCUUAAUUUUGAUCUGGAGCAGUCGAAUCUUUGGGUCAUAUUGUACCAGGAGACAGGUUAAUUCUGGCUACUGUGGGAUGUGCAUGUGAGAGACUGAACUUGAAAGACCAUAAAAAACAGACUCGUAACCAAAGCUCUUCUAAUGACUCCACCGUGGUCAAGUCCAGCUUGUCAUCUUCCAGGUACUGAAAUGUGAGCUUCCUGAAUGUUAGACUUACUAUUCCAGACAGCUACCCCAAUGGCUCCUAUCAGUAUGACUAAAACUGCUUGCUCAGUCUUACCCUCUGUUCUAAUAACUUCAAAACUCUCCAAACUUAUUUUAAUUUCUGCUGAGAUUUAUUUUAUUUCUCAAAUUCUUCCUGUAUCUUAUUUCCCUAUAAAGUAGAUGUCAAGAAUUUUCACAACUUACAGAAUUUUGCUACUAACAUAUAUCCUGUUGGCUUCUGGAAUUGUAACUCUUCACUUUGUCUAUUCCAGCUUUUCUGGCUUUCUGUGCAAAUUGCCAGCAUGAUUUUAUCUGAGAACUGUGUAACUGGCCACAUAUCAACCAUUUCCUCUUCAUUUUUACACUCUGCUUCUCCUAAGCAUGAUAUCAGUGUCCAUAAGGAGGCAUCGCAGACCACAUAUAAGGGUAGUCUUUCAUUGCUCCACUAUCACUUCAAUUUCUUUCCUUACCCACCCACUGCUAUGUGUUAUCUUCUUCAAUUUCAUCAGUAUAUCUGGCAUUUUAUUUCUCUGCAAGAUUUUGAGAAGAAAAUCAUAUACCAAAGCUUGAUCUAGACACAUUUCACAGCCUUUGACAUUUAAAGAAUUUUAGAGAAAUCCUAGUACUUGUCAAUCAAGUAAUGCCUAUCCCUUUAUUGCUGGUUGUCGCACCUUGUGGAGUAUGCAGUUUGCCAGCCUCAGCAGUUUCUGCAGUUAGAUUCCAUGUGUUACCCUUGAUGACCAUUUCUCUUUUCUUUCAGGUGCCACUGAAAACAGCAGCCUUCAGAGCUUUGCUGAAGGUGCUGUCAUCCAGAGUCUGUUGAACUCAACACUGAGGCUAGCAGGGCUGGGAGCACUUCUCUUCUUCAACAACUGCAUCUUGAUGCUCACUUCUGGAGCUGUCACGUCAGCUCCUCUAUCAGCUGUAUCUUUUUCCUUUGAUUGGUACCUGAACAUAAGACCAUGGCCUCUCUUUUUUCUCUGUUCCUAAAACAAUUCUAGAAAGAGUACCACAAUCCAAAUUUCUUCUUUUGUACUGUCAGUCUGUUCAAUUUGACUACAAAGGACACCACUAACAAACAUUCUCUCUUACCCAUUCUCAGAUGUUAGUAAGUCCUGACUUAAUUUUGCCUUAGCAUGAUGUUUUUCACUUAUCUCCUUGACUGUCUGUUUAUACUUUCCUUUUAUUCAUUCUUUGAUUUUUGCUACUUUGCUUUUUUUCUUUUUCUCUCUGUUCUCCAUUAAACAUAUCUGUUUUUGGGAAUUUGUGUUUGGCUUUAUGAAGCCGUUGGUUUAGCUCUGUCCCUAAAGAGGUUUCCUUGAAGCCUUUCUUAAAGGCUUUUUUCAGGUCACUCUUGUCACAUCCCAAGAGUGGCACAGACCUUCUGAGAAUUUAUUCUGUGUCAAUAGUAACACCCAUGCAUGAAAAAGUAUGUAAGUAUGUAUGUACAAGGUUUUCAGCACAAUACCAUUUACAUUGUAAAAAAAUAGGCACAACAAAAAUUUCUAUCAAUAAGAGAUUGAAUAAAUUUUAGUACAGCCUUAUAAUGGAACAGUAAAGUGCAUUUAAAAUGGUAAUGUAAAGUUGCAUUUACUGACAUCAAAAGAUUCUAAAAUGUUUAUUGAGUGAAAAAGCAGGUUAAAAAGUAUAAAUACACUAAUACAUAUAUAAAAUUAUGUGUGUGUGUGUGUGUGUAUGUAUAUAUAUAUAUAUAUAACUUGUUCAACAGCACUGACUCUAGAGUCAAGCAAAUUUGAGUAUGACUCUUAGCUCCACUAUUUACUAACUGUCUGACUUCAGGCAAUUUAUUAACUUCUCUGUGUAUUGCCAUGCACAUUUGUAUAAUGGGGAUAAUAGUGCCUACCUCAUGCAAUUUUAAUGAGGAUUAAAUUAUGUAAUUCAUGUUAAGUGUUCAGGAGAAUGACUGCCCAUUAUAUCUAAUAUUUGAAACUUAAAUAAAAAUGUAUGUGUAAGUGCUUCAAA